GAUGAACGCUAGCUACAGGCUUAACACAUGCAAGUCGAGGGGCAGCACAGUGUAGCAAUACAUGGGUGGCGACCGGCGCACGGGUGCGUAACGCGUAUCCAACCUUCCCGAUACUCAGGGAUAGCCUUCCGAAAGGGAGAUUAAUACCUGAUGGUGUUCAAAUUCCGCAUGUUAUUUGAACUAAAGAUUUAUCGGUAUCGGAUGGGGAUGCGUGACAUUAGAUAGUAGGCGGGGUAACGGCCCACCUAGUCUACGAUGUCUAGGGGUUCUGAGAGGAAGGUCCCCCACACUGGAACUGAGACACGGUCCAGACUCCUACGGGAGGCAGCAGUGAGGAAUAUUGGGCAAUGGGGGAAACCCUGACCCAGCAACGCCGCGUGAGUGAAGAAGUAUUUCGGUAUGUAAAGCUCUAUCAGCAGGGAAGAAAAUGACGGUACCUGACUAAGAAGCCCCGGCUAACUACGUG
rnacentral:rRNA from 1 species